rnacentral:rRNA from 1 species
CUAGGAUAGUGGACGUUACUCGCAGAAUAAGCACCGGCUAACUCUGUGCCAGCAGCCGCGGUAAUACAGAGGGUGCGAGCGUUAAUCGGAUUUACUGGGCGUAGAGCGUGCGUAGGCGGCUUCUUGAGUCGGAUGUGAAAUCCCUGAGCUUAACUUAGGAAUUGCAUUCGAUACUGGGAAGCUAGUGUAUGGGAGAGGAUUGUAGAAUUCCAGGUGUAGCGGUGAAAUGCGUAGAGAUCUGGAGGAAUACCGAUGGCGAAGGCAGCCAUCUGGCCUAAUACUGACGCUGAGGUACGAAAGCAUGGGGAGCAAACAGGAUUAGAUACCCUGGUAGUCCAUGCCGUAAACGAUGUCUACUAGCCGUUGGGGCCUU